rnacentral:rRNA from 1 species
AGCAGCCGCGGUAAUUCCAGCUCCAAUAGCGUAUAUUAAAGUUGUUGCAGUUAAAAAGCUCGUAGUUGAAUUUCGGGAUCAAUAUGUCGGUCGUGCCUUCGGUACGUACUGGUAUCAUUGGUCUCUCCUUUCUGACGAACCAUGAUGUCAUUAAUUUGGUGUUAUGGGGAGUUAGGACUGUUACUUUGAAAAAAUUAGAGUGUUUAAAGCAGGCUUUAGCUUGAAUACAUUAGCAUGGAAUAAUGAAAUAGGACGUUCGAACCUAUUUUGUUGGUUUCUAGGAUCAACGUAAUGAUUAAUAGGGAUAGUUGGGGGCAUUAGUAUUCAAUUGUCAGAGGUGAAAUUCUUGGAUUUAUUGAAGACUAACUACUGCGAAAGCAUUUGCCAAGGAUGUUUUCAUUAAUCAAGAACGAAAGUUAGGGGAUCGAAGACGAUCAGAUACCGUCGUAGUCUUAACCAUAAACUAUGCCGACUAGGGAUCGG